AGGACGAACGCUGGCGGCGUGCUUAACACAUGCAAGUCGAACGAGGUGCUUGCACCUAGUGGCGAACGGGUGAGUAACACGUGAGCAACCUGCCCCUGGCUCUGGGAUAGCCUCCGGAAACGGGGAUUAAUACCGGACAUGACCUUCUUAGGCAUCUUUGAAGGUGGAAAGUUUUUCGGCCAGGGAGGGGCUCGCGGCAUAUCAGCUUGUUGGAGGGGUAACGGCCCACCAAGGCGACGACGGGUAGCCGGCCUGAGAGGGCGACCGGCCACACUGGGACUGAGACACGGCCCAGACUCCUACGGGAGGCAGCAGUGGGGAAUAUUGCGCAAUGGGGGAAACCCUGACGCAGCGACGCCGCGUGCGGGAUGAAGGCCUUCGGGUUGUAAACCGCUUUCACCAGGGACGAAGCGAGAGUGACGGUACCUGGGGAAGAAGCGCCGGCUAACUACGUGCCAGCAGCCGC
rnacentral:rRNA from 1 species